GCUUAACACAUGCAAGUCGAGCGUCAGCAUGGUCUUAGCUUGCUAAGGCCGAUGGCGACCGGCGCACGGGUGAGUAACACGUAUCCAACCUGCCGUCUACUCUUGGACAGCCUUCUGAAAGGAAGAUUAAUACAAGAUGGCAUCAUGAGUCCGCAUGUUCACAUGAUUAAAGGUAUUCCGGUAGACGAUGGGGAUGCGUUCCAUUAGAUAGUAGGCGGGGUAACGGCCCACCUAGCCUUCGAUGGAUAGGGGUUCUGAGAGGAAGGUCCCCCACAUUGGAACUGAGACACGGUCCAAACUCCUACGGGAGGCAGCAGUGAGGAAUAUUGGUCAAUGGGCGAGAGCCUGAACCAGCCAAGUAGCGUGAAGGAUGACUGCCCUAUGGGUUGUAAACUUCUUUUAUAAAGGAAUAAAGUCGGGUAUGGAUACCCGUUUGCAUGUACUUUAUGAAUAAGGAUCGGCUAACUCCGUGCCAGCAGCCGCGGUAAUACGGAGGAUCCGAGCGUUAUCCGGAUUUAUUGGGUUUAAAGGGAGCGUAGAUGGAUGUUUAAGUCAGUUGUGAAAGUUUGCGGCUCAACCGUAAAAUUGCAGUUGAUACUGGAUAUCUUGAGUGCAGUUGAGGCAGGCGGAAUUCGUGGUGUAGCGGUGAAAUGCUUAGAUAUCACGAAGAACUCCGAUUGCGAAGGCAGCCUGCUAAGCUGCAACUGACAUUGAGGCUCGAAAGUGUGGGUAUCAAACAGGAUUAGAUACCCUGGUAGUCCACACGGUAAACGAUGAAUACUCGCUGUUUGCGAUAUACUGCAAGCGGCCAAGCGAAAGCGUUAAGUAUUCCACCUGGGGAGUACGCCGGCAACGGUGAAACUCAAAGGAAUUGACGGGGGCCCGCACAAGCGGAGGAACAUGUGGUUUAAUUCGAUGAUACGCGAGGAACCUUACCCGGGCUUAAAUUGCAGAUGAAUUACGGUGAAAGCCGUAAGCCGCAAGGCAUCUGUGAAGGUGCUGCAUGGUUGUCGUCAGCUCGUGCCGUGAGGUGUCGGCUUAAGUGCCAUAACGAGCGCAACCCUUGUUGUCAGUUACUAACAGGUUCCGCUGAGGACUCUGACAAGACUGCCAUCGUAAGAUGUGAGGAAGGUGGGGAUGACGUCAAAUCAGCACGGCCCUUACGUCCGGGGCUACACACGUGUUACAAUGGGGGGUACAGAGGGCCGCUACCACGCGAGUGGAUGCCAAUCCCCAAAACCUCUCUCAGUUCGGACUGGAGUCUGCAACCCGACUCCACGAAGCUGGAUUCGCUAGUAAUCGCGCAUCAGCCACGGCGCGGUGAAUACGUUCCCGGGCCUUGUACACACCGCCCGUCAAGCCAUGGGAGCCGGGGGUACCUGAAGUGCGUAACCGCGAGGAGCGCCCUAGGGUAAAACUGGUGAC
rnacentral:rRNA from 1 species